UACGAAGGGGGCAAGCGUUGUUCGGAAUUACUGGGCGUAAAGGGCUCGUAGGCGGCCAACUAAGUCGGACGUGAAAUCCCCGGGCUCAACCUGGGAAUGGCAUUUGGGGACUGCAAGGCUGGAGUGCGGCAGAGGAGACUGGAAUUCCUGGUGUAGCAGUGAAAUGCGUAGAUAUCAGGAGGAAUACCGAUGGCGAAGGCAGGUCUCUGGGCUGACACUGACGCUCAUGCACGAAAGCGUGGGGAGCGAAA
rnacentral:rRNA from 1 species